AGAAACAGCCGUAUCACCCUGCAGCCCAAGACCGGUUACUCACUGUAGCUAAGCUGGGCUGAGCCUAGUCAGUACCUGGAUGGGAGACCAUAUGGGAAAGCUAGGUUGCUGUUGGAA
rnacentral:rRNA from 2 species